AUUGAACGCUGGCGGCGUGCUUAACACAUGCAAGUCGAUCGGUAACGCGGGGGCAACCCUGGCGACGAGAGGCGGACGGGUGAGGAACGCUUGGGAAUCUGCCUAUCAGCGGGGGACAACCCGGGGAAACUCGGGCUAAUACCGCAUACGCUCUACGGAGGAAAGCCGGGGACCGCAAGGCCUGGCACUGAUAGAUGAGCCCAAGUCGGAUUAGCUAGUUGGCGGGGUAACGGCCCACCAAGGCGACGAUCCGGAGCUGGUCUGAGAGGACGAUCAGCCACAAUGGGACAGGGACACGGCCCAGACUCCUACGGGAGGCAGCAGUGGGGAAUAUUGGACAAUGGGGGAAACCCUGAUCCAGCGACGCCGCGUGGGUGAAGAAGGCCUGCGGGUUGUAAAGCCCUUUCGGUAGGGACGAAAGCUCUCGACCUAACACGUCGGGAGGUUGACUUAACCUACAAAAGAAGCACCGGCUAACUCUGUGCCAGCAGCCGCCGUAACAC
rnacentral:rRNA from 1 species